AAAUCUCACACCGUGUACCAGUGUUGGGGACACAUGUGUGGAAUGUGGAGGCUUGUGCCGGGCAGAAAAAUGUACGCAUGUUGUACGUGUGUCUCAGCUCCUCUGAAAAUCAUUAGCGCCAACGUCGUAGUGCUGCUAUUCUCAGCGUGAUAAUCAUGUCUGCGCUGUGGGUGGUGCUGCUUGUCUCCGUGGUGCUUCUAAUGGUUGUUGUUGCCCUCUCUUAGUUGGGCAGGGAAACACAACUAUAUCUUUGAC
rnacentral:misc_RNA from 1 species